GUCCCCUCCCCAGAUUAAUUAUCAUAUUCUCCUCUUCCACGGCAGGAGGCAGCAGGUUGCCGAAGCAAUCUAAGCUAGGUUGGAGCUGCCAUAUAUAGCUGAGCUACAAGUCUGCAAUCGUCUCUUGUUGUUUAACUAUAAGAGAUGGAAAAUGAUUCUCUCGCAUCCCUCGAUAUUCUUAGAGAUGUGCAUCGCUUGGCUAGUUUUUUAACGGAGCAACUGACCUUGGAAAGCGAAUCGCCGGAAGACAUCCAGGCGACGAUCUUUCGAGUUCCUGAGAACAUCCGCAGAACCAAUUCCGAUUCUUUUGAACCAAAGAUGGUCUCUCUCGGCCCCUACCACCAUGGAAAGAAACGGUUUCUGUUAAAAGGCAUUUAAUUUGGAAUCUUGACCAACAUGAAGUUUGAACGACAAGUCAUGGGAAGAGUUGAAUUCAAUAUUCAAACUUAGGAAAAUGUAGUCUUCUACUUUGGAAGUAUAAGACAAUUAAAUAAUUACUUUGUAUUAGCUCUAUAAGUACUUGUUUUCUUCUAAUAGGAAGAAAGAAGGGAAAAAUCUGUACGUGAAGUAGUAUAGCUACUAAAGGAGUCAACAGACUCUUUUUCAAUCAUAUUAAGAGUUUUUCGGGUUUCCGUUGCCA